rnacentral:rRNA from 1 species
UCGAAACCUGCGCAAGCAGACAGACCCGUGAACCUGUUUCUAACGAAUGCGUCCGGCCCCCCGGCCGGGCACCAACCCAACACCGGCGCGGAUUGCGCCAAGGAACACGAACCGCAGCGCCCCCUGGGAGGCCCGGUCCUCCGGAGCCCUCCCGGCGGCGGCGUGUCGUUUCUGACUAACAAGAACGACUCUCGGCAACGGAUAUCUCGGCUCUCGCAUCGAUGAAGAACGUAGCGAAAUGCGAUACUUGGUGUGAAUUGCAGAAUCCCGUGAACCAUCGAGUCUUUGAACGCAAGUUGCGCCCGAAGCCUUCUGGCCGAGGGCACGUCUGUCUGGGCGUCACGCACAGCGUCGCCCCCCUCCCCAACCCGGAGGAGCUGGGCGGAGACUGGCCCCCCGUGUGCCNACAGCGCGCGGCCGGCCUAAACGCAGACCCCGCGGCCGCGAGACGGCGCGACGAUUGGUGGCGUACUUCAUGGCAUCGCGUCGUGCCCUCUGCGGCCGUCGGGAGCUCAUCGGCGGAGACCGCGGACCCCGGUCCACCGUUGCGACCCCAGAUCAGGCGGGACUACCCGCUGAGUUUA